AUGAACGCUGGCGGCGUGCCUAAUACAUGCAAGUCGAGCGAACGGACGAGAAGCUUGCUUCUCUGAUGUUAGCGGCGGACGGGUGAGUAACACGUGGAUAACCUACCUAUAAGACUGGGAUAACUUCGGGAAACCGGAGCUAAUACCGGAUAAUAUUUUGAACCGCAUGGUUCAAAAGUGAAAGACGGUCUUGCUGUCACUUAUAGAUGGAUCCGCGCUGCAUUAGCUAGUUGGUAAGGUAACGGCUUACCAAGGCAACGAUGCAUAGCCGACCUGAGAGGGUGAUCGGCCACACUGGAGCUGAGACACGGUCCAGACUCCUACGGGAGGCAGCAGUAGGGAAUCUUCCGCAGUGGGCGAAAGCCUGACGGAGCAACGCCGCGUGAGUGAUGAAGGUCUUCGGAUCGUAAAACUCUGUUAUUAGGGAAGAACAUAUGUGUAAGUAACUGUGCACAUCUUGACGGUACCUAAUCAGAAAGCCACGGCUAACUACGUG
rnacentral:rRNA from 1 species